GGGGAAUAUUGCACAAUGGGCGGAAGCCUGAUGCAGCGACGCCGCGUGAGGGAUGACGGCCUUCGGGUUGUAAACCUCUUUCAGCAGGGACGAAGCGCAAGUGACGGUACCUGCAGAAGAAGCACCGGCUAACUACGUGCCAGCAGCCGCGGUAAUACGUAGGGUGCGAGCGUUGUCCGGAAUUACUGGGCGUAAAGAGUUCGUAGGCGGUUUGUCACGUCGUGUGUGAAAUCCCACAGCUUAACUGUGGGCUUGCAGGCGAUACGGGCAGACUUGAGUACUGCAGGGGAGACUGGAAUUCCUGGUGUAGCGGUGAAAUGCGCAGAUAUCAGGAGGAACACCGGUGGCGAAGGCGGGUCUCUGGGCAGUAACUGACGCUGAGGAACGAAAGCGUGGGGAGCGAAC
rnacentral:rRNA from 1 species